rnacentral:rRNA from 1 species
UACAUGGGGUGCAAACGUUGCUCGGAAUUAUUGGGCGUAAAGCGCACGUAGGCGGUUUGUUAAGUCGGAUGUGAAAUCCCUCGGCUCAACUGAGGAAGUGCAUCCGAAACUGGCAGGCUUGAGUACUAAAGAGGGUCGCGGAAUUCCCGGUGUAGAGGUGAAAUUCGUAGAUAUCGGGAGGAACACCGGUGGCGAAGGCGGCCAUCUGGACGGUAACUGACGCUGAGACGCGAAAGCGUGGGGAGCAAACAGG